rnacentral:ncRNA from 1 species
AUUAAACUGUUGAAGAGGCUAGUAAUUAUUUUUAAGGGUUAAGAGAGUGGAUGUUUUGGUGAAAAUCCAUACCUUAUUAUAAUGAAUCCACCUUGGAGGGACUGUGAUGAGCAGUACGGUAAAGCCGUUAAGUUUUUUAAGAGGAUAAUAAGAUGAAUAUUUUAUUAUCAAUUAGGGUGGCAACGCGGAGUCUUUCGUCCCUUUU